rnacentral:rRNA from 1 species
AACGAACGCUGGCGGCAGGCCUAACACAUGCAAGUCGAACGCUGUAGCAAUACAGAGUGGCAGACGGGUGAGUAACGCGUGGGAACCUUCCCAGUGGUGCGGAAUAGCUCAGGGAAACUUGAGGUAAUACCGCAUAAGCCCCUAGGGGGAAAGAUUUAUCGCCAUUGGAUGGGCCCGCGUCGGAUUAGCUAGUUGGUGAGGUAAUGGCUCACCAAGGCAACGAUCCGUAGCNGGUUUGAGAGAAUGACCAGCCACACUGGGACUGAGACACGGCCCAGACUCCUACGGGAGGCAGCAGUCGGGGAAUCUUGGACAAUGGGCGCAAGCCUGAUCCAGCCAUGCCGCGUGAGUGACGAA